ensembl:lncRNA
UGGCUCUGCAUGGAUGGAAUCAGCUUGCAUCGAGUGGAAGCGACUGUAUUGAAAAGUUAGUAUUUGAUGUGGCUAGUUAUGUAUUUGAAAGAAAAAAACAAUUGUUCUUAGACCUAUUGCCUAGAGUUGCAAAUGGAUACAUAAUACACUAUUAGAAGAGUUUUCCUAUGGGAUGCGCACGGGCAUAGCUGAGCUCCAUUUGACUGCUGGUUGGAGAGCGUGCAUGAGAGAUCAGCCCCUGGCUAACAUGGACGUGGAAGACUUUCCACCCCCUCCACCUGAAAUGUUGGCGGACGGCGGCGACGAAGACGAGGGGGAGGCCUUCGAGUUUGAGGACAGCGGCGAUGAGGUCACCGGGGCUGACCUGCCGCCCCCCGCCCCAGAAGCUUCCGGCGCCCCCGCCCCGCCCCCGGCCCCGCCCCCUCGGAUGUCGCGGUGGCGGCGGGACGGGUCAAGGGU